GUACUCACCUCGGCAACAUAUAUACUAAAAUUGAAACAAUACAGAGAAGAUUAGCAUGGCCCCUGUGCAAGGAUGACAUUCAAAAAGAUGUCAACUUAGCCU